rnacentral:rRNA from 1 species
GACGAACGCUGGCGGCGUGCUUAACACAUGCAAGUCGAACGGUGAAGCGCUUGCCUUUUUGGUGGGUGUGGAUGAGUGGCGAACGGGUGAGUAACACGUGAGUAACCUGCCCUCUUCUUCUGGAUAACCUCAUGAAAGUGGGGCUAAUACGGGGUAUUCCGGGUCUGUCGCAUGGCGGGUUUGGGAAAGAUUGCGCCUUUGGGUGUUUUCGGUGGGGGAUGGGCUCGCGGCCUAUCAGCUUGUUGGUGGGGUGAUGGCCUACCAAGGCGGUGACGGGUAGCCGGCCUGAGAGGGUGGACGGCCACACUGGGACUGAGACACGGACCAGACUCCUGCGGGAGGCAGCAGUGGGGAAGAUUGCACAAUGGGCGCAAGCCUGAUGCAGCGACGCCGCGUGAGGGAUGGAGGCCUUCGGGUUGUGAACCUCUUUCGCCAGUGAAGCAGGCCUGCUCCUGUGUGGGUGGGUUGACGGUAGCUGGAUAAGAAGCGCCGGCUAACUACGUG